GACAGAGGGUGCAAACGUUGUUCGGAAUUACUGGGCGUAAAGCGUGUGUAGGCGGUCUCAUAAGUCGGAUGUGAAAGCCCCGGGCUCAACCCGGGAAGUGCAUUCAAAACUGCGGGGCUAGAGUAUCGGAGAGGUUGGUGGGAUUCUCGGUGUAGAGGUGAAAUUCGUAGAUAUCGAGAGGAACACCGGUGGCGAAGGCGGCCAACUGGACGAAUACUGACGCUGAGACACGAAAGCGUGGGGAGCAAACAGG
rnacentral:rRNA from 1 species